rnacentral:tRNA from 1 species
GUGAGCGUAGCUCAGUUGGUAGAGCUCCGGAUUGUGGCUCCGGCGGUCGUGGGUUCGAGCCCCAUCGUUCACCCCA